rnacentral:lncRNA from 10 species
GCCCGCCCGCGCCUGCGGCUGCCUGCGCCGGACUGGAGAGCGCGGAGGGCCGACCUGACCCGCCGAAAGGGCCUGAGGCGAGGGGAGCCCGGGUCCCGGGGCCUUGGGGAAGGACCCGCAGCCGCACGCCGGCCCCAAGUGCAAAGCAUUGACACGACCCCGAGCGGAGAGGGGGCGCCCUCCUUCUCCCGCGCCCAGAGGCCCGGCCGCUCUGGCCCGAGCCCCAGCCUGGCCUCCGACCCAGCUCCGGGUCGUGGCGCCGCCUGGGGGUCCCUGCGCCCCGGAAAGAGACAGCAGGCACUGGAAAGCGAGGCCGGUGGGCGGGCGAGUCGGGAGGCUCGGGCGGCCGAGGUCCGGGAGCGGAUCCCAGGUGGCGGGAGCUGGUGCCCUGGCAGGAGGGACUGGCUUAUGCCACCCUGUGCAGGAUCGUCUUCUCAGCUUACAGAGCCUAGUGUGAUUCAACAACCCUCCAUCUCUGCCCCCAACAUGCCCAACUGAUCUGGUGGAGGGAACUGAAGAUGAAGGCCUCUCAGGCACCAUGGAUGGGAUGGGUGUGUGUGAAGGGGGCAGGGUCCCCAGGAGCUGCCCCAGGUCUGGCUGGACAGUUGCACGGGAAGUCCUGUUUGUGAACUCAACGUUUCCACGGCUUUUCCAUUAAACUUUACCCCAAAUC